AAUCGGCUGGCUCAGUCAGCAGAGCAUGGGACUCUUAAUCUUGGGGUUGUGGGUUCGAGCCCCAUGUUGGAUG
rfam:Canis lupus familiaris chromosome 6, whole genome shotgun sequence.